rnacentral:snRNA from 1 species
GUGCUCGCUUCAGCAGCACAUACACUAAAAUUGGAACGAUACAGAGAUUAGCAUGGCCCCUGUGCAAGGAUGACAUGCAAAUUCGUGAAGUGUUCCAUAUUUUU